ACCUGAUGACCCUCAGUGGUCUGGGGUGCAGGCUUCAAACCUGCAGCUGUCCAGCAUCAGGGUGGUUCAAUUCCACCUCUCAGGCA